rnacentral:rRNA from 1 species
CCUACGGGUGACUGCAGUGGGGAAUAUUGGGCAAUGGGCGCAAGCCUGACCCAGCAACGCCGCGUGAAGGAAGAAGGCUUUCGGGUUGUAAACUUCUUUUAAGAGGGAAGAGCAGAAGACGGUACCUCUCGAAUAAGCCACGGCUAACUACGUGCCAGCAGCCGCGGUAAUACGUAGGAGCCGAGCAUUAUCCGGAGUGACUGGGUGUAAAGAGUUGCGUAGGUGGCAUAAUAAGUAGCUAGUGAAAACUGGUGGCUCAACCAUUCAGACUGUCAGCUAAACUGUUACGCUCGAGACCGUGAGAGGUAAGUGGAAUUUGUAGUGUAGGGGUGAAAUGCGUAGAUAUUAGGAGGAACACCAAUAGCGAAGGCAGGUUGCUGGGACGGUUCUGACGCUGAGGCACGAAAGCGUAGGGAGCAAACAGGAUUAGAUACCCGAGUAGUC